UACGGAGGAUCCAAGCGUUAUCCGGAAUUACUGGGCGUAAAGAGUUGCGUAGGUGGCAUAGCAAGCAGAUAGUGAAAGCGUGCGGCUCAACCGCAUAUCCAUUAUCUGAACUGCUAAGCUUGAGUAUGGGAGAGGUAGAUGGAAUUUCUAGUGUAGGAGUGAAAUCCGUAGAUAUUAGAAGGAACACCGAUGGCGUAGGCAGUCUACUGGCCCAUUACUGACACUAAGGCACGAAAGCGUGGGGAGCGAACGGG
rnacentral:rRNA from 1 species